UACGUAGGGUGCAAGCGUUGUCCGGAAUUAUUGGGCGUAAGAGCUUGUAGGCGGUUUGUCGCGUCUGCUGUGAAAAUCCGGGGCUCAACCCCGGACUUGCAGUGGGUACGGGCAGACUAGAGUGUGGUAGGGGAGACUGGAAGUUCCUGGUGUAGCGGUGGAAUGCGCAGAUAUCAGGAGGAACACCGGUGUCGAAGGCAGGUCUGCUGGGCCGUGCUGACG
rnacentral:rRNA from 1 species